AAAGAAAGAAAAAGGAUAAAAGAAAAACACUUUGAAUUUUGACGAGAAAUUGUUUUUUUCCUUUAACAGAAGCCAAACGUAAAAAAAUGCUGGGACGAACUGUGUGGCAGCGUGAACCGUCCGCGUCUGACGACUCGGCCCGACUGCCUUGCCCGUGGCGGGCACGACGUGUUUUUAUUUAAAAAGAAGACGGGAGCAACAGGAGACGAGAGCGAGAAUGAACGAGAAAAAAAAAAAGGAGAGGAGAAACGGGCAAGGUAAGAUACCGUUGUGCGCUUGAUGUAGACUGUACUUUUUUGGGUUUUUUCUUUUCUUUCGCCUCAACGCAGGCUCUCUUUCUGCCCGCUGGCUUACGUCACUAUUGCUGAUGCUGCUGCUCUACCUUGCCGGUCGUAUUCGCAUUGGCGGGGGAUACGCGUACGAAAGGAGAAUUGAAACCAGUUGAAAAUUUCAUGUAUUCGCCAAAAAGGGAAAAAAAAAACAAGGCCACGAACAACAAUGAAAAAACUGGGAAAACGUUCAAACCCAAAAAAAGGAAGAAAUGAAACAAACAGCGCAGCUCCGAAGGCGAAACGUGUGUGUGCGCGCUGGCCGAAUCAAACUCCCGGGCGCUGCGUUGGUUGAAUAUUGCCCAACGGCUAUAUUUAGCAGUUUGCGCAUAUGUGAUGAUAACGGACCCAAAGGGUUGCACACGUUGCGAUGCCAGCAAAGAAAUAAGAAAAAUAAGUCGGCGGAUGUUGUUGCGUGUUGCUUGCUCCGCUGAUGAUGCAGAUGAAAGCACCAGGAAAGAAGUGCGUUUGGAUUGGCGUUUAAAAAAAACGUAUUUGCUAAACGACUCCGGUUACCUUCUGUUUCUGUUUGUAAACUGAGCGCACGGGAACGUUGGCAAUGAUGAUCGGCCUUUGAAGAUCAGGAGCAACUUGAACAGAUCCAUUCUAAAAACCGUGUGACACGUCGGUCACGAUCAGCAUCCGGCGUCGAUGGGGACAGAAAAACUUUGGGUUUCCAUCGCACACCCACCACAACAGCAGUAAAUUAAAAGAAAUUGGUGGCGAGUAAAAGAGAAUUAAAAGGAAAUGGUAACAGCCAAACACUCCCCACAUUUUUUUUUUUUUCUGGCUGGCCCGAGUAUCUCAACAUGUGAUGCCGUCCUUCCGAACAGAACGGCCGCCGCACAAUAACCGGAGAUGAGCAAUUUAUCAUCAGUUGGCGAUGCAAGCUAAAAUAGAAAAUAGCAAUCACGUCACAAUCCGUCAAAUUUUCUCCUUACUUUCAGCCACUUGACCAUUCGUGGCACACCCAAACAUUCCCUACCUUAUUUUCGAUAGGAUUUCCUCUUUUCUUUUCUUUUUUUUUAGCGUGGAAAUUCCAACGGAGGAGGAUCUCUUUAUUCCUGGCUUUUCUGGCACUUGUUUCCAAUCUGAUAUCGCACUUGAAUGCCGUCAUCGCGGUCGCAAGCUGAGACGACGCGCACGCGCAAUUACGGACGCUCCUGCUCGGUACACGAUGGCGUCAUUGUUAUUACUCAGCUAACUGGAAUGAAGAGUAUCCCGAGAAAGAGCCUGGGACGCGGUCCGGCGUCUAAACAAUGUUAUCGCCAUCCUAAACCUUUUCAUUAAUGCACAGAAAGAGAGGAUUCCUGUAGGUAAUGAAAAGGGGAAGCCACGAAGCAACAACAAAUUUCACUUUGUUGUUCUUGUUAGAAAGGCAUAACAGGAACAAUCAACAUUUUUAACGAUGCAUUAAGGACAUUCUCUGCCUAACUCCGAAAGGGAAAAUAAAAAAAAAAACAAAAAAACUUGAUCGUCAGGUUUAAUUUCCAUACAGUGUUAUUGAUGUGAUCCUUAAAAAGAGAGGCCGAGCUUUAGGGAUUCGUUCUUUUCUUACUGAAUUCUUGUUGGGCUAUUUGACUGUGAUGGAUCGUGUAGAAUUUUUUUUCCCCCUCUUUCUAUUUUCUUCUACUCUUACUGCUGGAAUAAGAUGUGGCACUAAACCUUUUUGGUAGUUAUGUUUUGGGGGAGAGAAAAAAAAAUGAACAACCUGGGCGGUGGCAUAGCGAGUUUGUGCGCUUUAAGAAUACGCAUCACACGCGGUUGAUUUAUAUCUUUUGUGUGUGUCGCGCUGCGUAUACCUGCGUGAAUCAGCUCAUGAUGUGCUGUCGCGUGUCAAGUUUCACAGCUGGGCCACUUUAUAAAACAUUUUUUUUUGUCCCCUCCUUCUCUCUCUCUCUUUUUUCUAGUUUUUUUCUGAAAAAGGAAACCCAAUUCCUUUUAUGGAGCGAGGCUGAUGGAAAAGUGAUGGUGACCGAGAGAAUGGCGGACAGAACACUUGAUCCGGCUGUCUUUUUAUCGGUUGGAGUCUACAAGGUGAAUCAUAAAUAAAGUUUUUUUUUUUAGUUUUCAUUACCGAUCUGACUUCAGUGGCUUUCACACAAGUAGGUUUUUAAAAAUCUGUUUUCGUUUUAUUAGAGCCCACCUAAAUGUUUGUUCUCCUCGCCCUUUAACCGCUGACUAAAGUAUAAAACAGUUUUUUUUUUAGUUGGAGUUUUUUUUUUCCGUUGUCCAUUUUUAUUCACGCAUAUCAACAUCCUCACAAGUGGAUACAAGACUUACCGAGUCUAAUAGCUCUCCGCCAGAUGCUGGUAAAACCCAUAGUCUCCGAAUUGGCUGUUGUUAUAUUUCGACUACAGGUUUUCAUUCCACAUUAAAUAAUUCACGUAAAUUGUGCCUAACGUGAAAAAGUUAA